rnacentral:lncRNA from 10 species
ACUUCUCAGCUAGCACAGUGACCACCUCUUCCAUGCUGUUUGAAGUUCUGGCUGUCUUGUGGGGUCCAUUGUUACCACAGUAGAAUCCAACCAAGAUGAAGAAACUGAAACUCAGAAAAAUUUAUGUCCUACCGCAGGCCACAUAGCUAGUAAGUCCCAGAGCCCCGAUGGAAACGUGAGUCUGCCUGGCACUAGAGCUCAUGCUCCUUCAGCAACAACAUGGUACAGAAUGAAAUAAUGUGGGAGAGGCUGGGCACGGUGGCUCACUCCUAUAAUCCCAGCACUUUGGGAGGCCGAGGCAGGUAGAUCAUGUGAGGUCAGGAGUUCAGACCAGCCUGGCCAACAUGAUGAAACCCCCCACUCUACUAAAAAUACAAAAAUUACCCAGGCGUGAUGGCACAUGCCUAUAUUCCCAGCUACUCAGGAGGCUGAGGCAGGAGAAUCACUUGAACCUGGGAGGUGGAGGUUGUGGUGAGCCAAGACCGUGCCAUUACACUCCAGCCUGGGCAAUAAGAGCGAAACUCCAUCUCGAAAAAUAAAAUAAAAUGAAGAAACAAUGCGGGAGGAUGAACACAUGGAUGCUGCCUGCUACAACUUCAGCAGCAGAGUCUUGGACAUCCACCUUGCGCAAGACAUUCCUGAGUGGCACUGCUGUGUUUCUCACACAGCACCUUGGCCUCAGUAGACAACCAUGGGACAAGGAAGACUGGGGACUGCAUCAAGACCUGAGGUGAGACAGGAAUGGAGUGGACAGCAGCUACAGAAGGUGGGAGCCGUAUGAGUUCAGCUGUGGAUCAUCCAGGCAGAAGAACAGGAUGUCACGAUGCUCAAGAGUUAAGAAACUGGAGUGUCCCCAGAGAUGACAAGCAAUCUAUGAAGAGACCUAUUCAACAAAGUGGGUAGGGAUGCAGAGAACAACAGAGAAAUGAACAGAAAAUAACAGAGCCCCAUCACUGUGCCCAGUUUUCAGGACAGGCUGCGGUCCCUGGGGUGAGAGCAAAGUGACGGAGAAAAAGGCACGGCCGUCUCCAGAACUGAGACCUGGCCUUGGCCCCAGCAAUAGGGCAGAAGCCCAGAAAUCACAGCUGGAUGCAUGGUCGGGUUGGACCAGUGGCAAGGGGGCAGAGUCCUAGCACAUUGUCUGGAAGGAGGCAUUUCCCACUCUUCCGUGGACCACCAUGCUCGCUGGGGAGGGUGAGGGGUAGCUUGGGUGCGCUGGGCUAAGCAAAGCUCACCAGAUACUUUACUGAUGUUUUUGCCAAGGCAUUUGUAUACUCAGAUGAAUUUUGAUAUCUCCAAAAAGGGGCCAUAAGUCAUUUCCCAAACAUAUUUGAUCACAGUGUUACUGGCGGCGAAUCCUUAUGUGUCUGCAGCAACCUCAAUUCUUGCCUCCUCAGAAGGAAGAAUUCUACUAAGGGCCAUAAGGCCAAAGGAGAGAUUGAGGCAAGUUUUAGAGCAGGACUAGAAGUUUAUUUAAAAGCUUUAGAGCAGGAAUAAAAGGAAGUAAACUACAUUUGGAAGAGGGCCAAGCAGGCGACCUGAAAGGCAAGUGCACUCUUUGACCUUUGACUUGGGGUUUUAUACGUUGGCAUGCUUCUGGGGUCUUGGCGUCUGUCCCUUUUCCCCGGAUUCUUCCCUUGGGGUAGGCUGUCCGCAUGCACGGUGGCCGUCCAGCACUUGGGAGGGGCCCCAUGCACAGUGUGUUUACUGAAGUUGUACGCACGCUCCCUUGAGCUAUUCUUCCUUUACCACGUGAGUGUUCCUAUAAGGUCAUAUACCAAUUAAACUCUGCCAUUUCGCCUCUUAGUGCGCAUGCUUGAGCCUACUCACCCAACGCCUGAGAUCUUAUCUGGAAGCUGCUGAUCACCAGUUUCAGGUUUUUUCUAUCUACUGAGAGACUGCCUUUCCCUGGCACUGGCUGUGACCAAUUAUUAUUUUAGAAAGGCAGUUUAACAACCACCUGACCAUCACUAGAUGGUUGAUGGUUGCCUGACAUUCCUGGUGGGAAGUCGGGGGGGCCUCCCCUGCCCUGUUCAUGUCUGACUAGCUACCUACUGUAACAACAGCAUUCCUUUUUUGUUCUUUAACAGAUCGUCUAUGGUUAUCUUCCAGGAUAUCAAAAUAAUAUUUAAAAAGCAAUGAGGUUGUAAGCUUUGGGUCUGUUAAUAAAAUAGAUAAAUAGAUAAUAAGGUAGUGUUUUUUAAAUACACUCUUCACACUCAACAUUGAAAAUAUGUCCUUAAAAUGGAGCAAUGCCGGGCCAGCAGGUGGGGAUCCAGGAGUCCUAGCCACGCAGAGGGGACUGCAGGGCUGGAGACCAGGCAGGGCCAGACAGACACAAGGAGAAUAAUACAUAGAAAUGUGGUUCCUGGGCCAGGUGCAGUGGCUCAUGCCUGUAAUCCCAGCACUUUGGGAGGCCAACGCAAGCAGAUCACUUGGGGUCAGGAGUUUGAGACCAGCCUGGCCAACAUGGUGAAACCCCGUCUCUAUUAAAAAUACAAAAAAAACAUAUUAGCCAGGCAUGAUAAUGAGUGCCUGUAAUUCUAGCUUCUUGGGAGGCUGAGGCUGGAGAAUUGCUUGAACCUGGGAGGCAGAGGCUGCAGUGAGAUGAAAUCAUGCCAUUGCACUCCAACCUGGGCAACAGAGUGAGACUUCGUCUCCAAAAAAAAAAAAAAAGUAGUUUCUGCUGUCAGAUGUUUAGAUGUUUACACUCCAUAGCAC